AAUAUAAGGUUACUUACAGUUCACUCUUCUAUAAAGCAGUUGAUAAUCCACUAGACGUGAUGUUAAACAAGAACUACUAUGGGCCACUCUGAAACAUAGUAGAAAAGAUAUUUUUUCAGGUACUGACAGCAUGCCUUGCUUAUCACUACUUCUAACACAUUACCAGAAAAUCUCUUAAGAUCUCCAACUAUGAAGGAGAUUUUUACUGACUUCUAUCACACUAUAAUUGUACAUAAAACCUGGAAGAUAAGCUUGGUGCUCAGAAGCCAUGCUGAUAUAUGUUUGGGGAUAGGAGGCAGGUGACAUGCCAACGUAGUUUAGUGAAAUAUUGGUCACCUCCUGGGACAAGGCUUGCUGAAGUCAAUUCUGCCUGUAGAAAAAUCAGUGGGGCUACACAAAUGCACACUAAGUAAGAAUCUAUUCAUGUUCUAAAUUUUCUAUCCUACUGACAUUCUUUUGAAAUCACACAGUGGAUGAUUGAAUUUUUUUUAUUUUUUUAUUUUUUUUACUUCACAUUAUUUGCAGGUAAAAUUUGUUGUACAAAGCAUAACGGAGAACUUAAGAAUGACCCUGUGAAGUUGCAUGGUAGAGCAUUACUUUUAUGAAGUGCUUAGGAACUGAAAGCUGCUUUUACACCCACUGACAUAACAUCAUCACAUUUCCUCUCUAACUCGCCCCCGAAACUAACAAAUGCAGACAGGAUGAUAAUUGAUGUAAUUUUGGUGAUGAAAUUAUCUAUCAUCCACCAAAAUUUAUUCAAGAGAUGUUGUCAUCCUGCACUCUCUCAAAGAAACAGGAAAACAUCUUUUGUGUAGUGAUGAUAGUGUGUUCUGACAGAUAGGACAUGAAGUGACCUAACAUGUAAAUUAUAUCUGUAAUAGACUAGCCAGAGCUAUAAUAUAUACUUAAAACCAAAGCAGACCGGAUAUCAAAUUUGUCUCAGAAGGCAAAUAUUUAGGAUGGGAUGGCUCUUCUAGUCUCAUGCAGCUAUUUUUUUUUUUUUGUCUUACUAAAUUUUAGCUCAGUAUAGUUACAAGAUAAACUCAGUAUAUGACAAAAGCUGGUCUGCAGACCUACAAAUGAACCUCAGAGGGAAUAAGGAGGGGGGAGUCCUGCCAAACCACUCCCUGGCCCAGGUGCCACCAGCCCAUCAAAGACCCAUCAAAGGCAGAUAGGGGGACUCAAAGACUCACAGGAAGGGGCAUUCUGUCUGGGACCCUCCCAGGGUUGUGCCAGCAGAUCCAGAGCCCUGGCAUCCAGUUGUGAAACUCACCACUGUGAGACACUGGGAGCAGUUCUCUGAAACAACUUGGACUUCAGACAGUUGCUGCCUUGGCAUGAGACACAUUAUGGGAUGCAGGGAAGGACAGUUGGGAUUGCACAGGAUUUACUGUAGGAUGUUUAGGGGCAGGAUCAAAGGUAAGAAAAAAAAAAAAGGAGGGAUUUAGGUCAUUUGGGUAGGGAAAAAUGGGGGAAACAGAGACACAAGGAAAUAAAAGGAUUAAUUUGUAUUUAAGCAAGCACUGUUGAAUGCACUUUUCUGGCCCUGCUCUGCAUUUAGAAUCACAGAAUCAUUGAAUUGUUUUUAUUGGAUGCAAUUUUAAAGACCAUCUAGUUCCCACUCUGCUGCCAUGUGUGUGGACACCUUCCACUAGGUCAAAUUGCCCAGGGCCACAUCUAAGCUGGCCUUGAGCACUUCAAGAGAUGGGACAUCCACAGCUUCUCUGGGGAUCCUAUGCCAGGACCUCAUCACCCUCAUUAUGAAGAAUUUAUUUCUUAUAUCUAACUUUAACCUAUCCUCAUUUAGCUGAAAACCAUUAGCCCUUGUCCUGUCACUGCAACCCUUGAUGAAGAAUCCCCUCUUCAUCUCUCCUGUAGGUGCUCUGUAAGCACUGCAAAUGCCACUAUAACGUCUCCCCGGAGCCUUCAUGUGUCCAAGUGCCAUAAGCUGGGGAGCACAAGACCAGCUGCUGAAUGGAUCCAUCUCAUAUACAGGAUAUACACUCCCAGUGAAGGACUCACUCCACCAGGAAGGGGAAAAGGCCAGAUUUAUUUCACCUGUUGGAAGCAAUGCCUGCCACAGGAGUCCAGUGAUUGCCAUGAGAUCCUCAAUCAGUCCUGGCAACCGUAAUUUGCAUAUUUUAAAUUUCCUAUUAAAACCGUUCAAAUACAACAAUGCAUCUUAAUCCUAUCCUGUCAGUUAAGUGUUAGAUUAUGAAAGGUCAGGCAGAGUUGAGUUACAAAUGGACGAAAGUUCUCCAACGUACAAAUAAUGCUUUGUAUAUCUAACACUCAAAAUUGCACGUAUAAGCAGGGAUUGCUCUUCUAAAUGAGUAAGCAUCACACUAAUGAGAACUUGCUUUGUCUGAAUGCAUGACCAUAGGAUAAUAUUGGAAAGCAUUGUUCAACAGGAAUUACUGUGCUAUACAAACACUCAUGUGCAAAAUAUUUUGACAGAGUAAAAUAUUUAAAUGAAGAAAAAAAUAAUAAUUCAAUCAGAGAUUAAAAAAAAAAAUUGGAUUUCAAGGAAAACAGAUGGAUGUCACAGAACAUAAAAGCUAAAAAAUGCUGACUUUCAUGGAGCAGCACUGUAAGAAAAUUAUUAAUAUUCACUGUGCAGAUUACUGGAAAAAUCCAUAAACCUUUAAAAACCUUAAUUGGCUAUUCCAGUCUCAAGAGAGAGGAGAAAUAAGCCUGCUAUUGAUAAGUACAGGAGAAGGAAAGAAAGCUUUUGAUAAUGUCGGCAUGGAUCCCAGUCCCUCUUUCAUGGGCAUAAGGUGAAUAUUGAUUAGUGUAAUUCCCUUGACUUCUGGGUUAUGCUGUUUUCCAUUUCUGUGAGGAAGUUCUGAAAUAGGCUUCUACAGCUAGGGCUAUUUUUCUUCUUUCUGCUUAGGAUACAAAUGAACAGUAUCUGCUUUCUUCCCCAGCCAUAGCAAUGAUAUUUUACUGCCGCCUUAUUUUUAACCAGUUUAAUGUGCAGAAAAGCACAACGCCAGUGAUUCUGCAGAGUAAAAUGCUGAUGGAAAUGUCGGGCUGCUGUUAGAGGCAGUGAUGGGGUGAUGGGAAGACCUGGCUCUCUGUGAAUGGAAUCAUUGAUGAUCUCUGGGAAAAUAUGGAACUGCAACAUCCGUGUUUCACUGAGCUCUCGUGAGAUAGUGUUCUGGGUGCUCUUUAUUACAGGUUUUUGAUGAAGCUGAGAUGGCACCAUUGCGUGUUUCCAGGAUUAGAAAUGUUAAUGUUUCCUUCACCACAUUUGGGUGCUGCUUUC
ensembl:lncRNA